GUGGAUUAGAUACCCUGGUAGUCCUAGCCGUAAACGGUGCAUGUUUGCUGUAAAAGGAAUCGACCCCUUUUGUGGCGUAGCCAACGCGUUAAACAUGCCGCCUGGGAAGUACGGUCGCAAGAUUAAAACUCAAAGAAAUUGACGGGGGCCUGCACAAGCGGUGGAGUAUGUGGCUCAAUUCGAUGCAACGCGAAGAACCUUACCUGGCCUUGACAUGUAUGUAGUAGAAGGGUGAAAGCCUGACGAGGUAGCAAUACCAGCAUACACAGGUGCUGCAUGGCUGUCGUCAGCU
rnacentral:rRNA from 1 species